CCUGUUUUGUGGGUGAGUGGGGGGCGGAUGUAGUAAAUUCGGCCACGUGACCCGUUGUGUCUCACGUCUCAGUGUGCGAAGCCUUUCACACCCGUUACCCCACCGGUGCCUCGCAGCCUCAGAGGGUGUUGUGGUCCCGUGUUCAUCUCCGGGCUGCGGACGGACGAGCAAACUGAGGCUCACGGAAGGGGCUGGUCCAGGUCACCAAACCAGCAGGGCUGAGAUCACAGGCAACAAAUACUGUUACAAACACUUUGGAAGGAGCUGAAAAUGCUGAAAAUGUAGAAGCUGCGAGUAUUGCAACAAAUGGAGGAGGUCUGUGACGGGAAGGUCCGCUGCUCAGUUGGAUCAAUCACAGAAAAAAACCCACAAAGCAAUAUUCUGUGGCAACACUGUGUCCACGUACCCACUGAAGGAUGGCUGCUUUGCCUGAAACAAUGAGAGGACGCUGCGCUCCGAUGCUGACGGUGACGGUGCCUCGGCCACACUCCCCGGCGGGAAGCCAGGCGCCGUGGAUGCGGUUGGUUUGCACACAGAGACUCCCGCCGUGGGGCUGUCCCGUGACCUGAGGGAGCUGAGCAUCCGUGCGAGUUCUCCGCUCACGUAGAAGGUUGUUGGCUAUCUCACAGCAAGAUUCUUAAAAGGCCUGUCAGACUUAGCGAUGAGUCAUCUUUGUCUUCUUCUUAAACAUAAAGGCAUGUAUUCCUCUGAUGACAAUGGCGGCCGUAUUCCUGUGAUGACAGGGGCCGCCUAGCCCACCGCCCGGCGGAUACUUUCCAAGUGGUGAACACGCUUCAUUUGUCCCUUCAGGGCAAAGGGGAUGUUCUCACCAAGCAAGCUGCUGGAUGACCGGGUGUGCGGCCGCCUUAUCUUUAUAUUUACGGUCACAGACGCCCAGGGCCCCCGGUGCUGCCUGACAACCUACCAGAUUUCUGAUUUGACUCUCCCAUUGCCAAGAGCUAUUGCACGCCUGCUCUCUCAGACCUUGUAACCCCACGUCCGCUCGCAACUGUGACUUGCUCCCCACUUCAGCAGGAACAAGCAGAAGACGACCUUCCCCCUGAACAUCGAACUCACCUACUCAAAAGCUCACCCAGCCUCUCCAUUUAAAACAUGUCACACGUAUGGCCCUGGGCCAGUGACGGCGAACCUUCUGAGCUCGGCGUGCCAGCAUUUGGAAAAACCCUAACUUAA